GGCCACAUCACGGUGAAGCAUUGGUUCCCGUAAGAUCCACAGAAGUUAAGCCAUUUCAAGCCUGGUCAGUACCAAGAUGAGUGACCGCUUGGGAAUGCCAGGUGCUGCAAG